GACGAACGCUGGCGGCGUGCUUAACACAUGCAAGUCGAACGAAGAGCGAUGGAAGCUUGCUUCUAUCAAUCUUAGUGGCGAACGGGUGAGUAACGCGUAAUCAACCUGCCCUUCAGAGGGGGACAACAGUUGGCAACGACUGCUCAUACCGCAUACGAUCUAAUCUCGGCAUCGAGGAUAGAUGAAAGGUGGCCUCUACAUUUAAGCUAUCACUGUAGGAGGGGAUUGCGUCUGAUUAGCUAGUUGGAGGGGUAACGGCCCACCAAGGCGAUGAUCAGUAGCCGGUCUGAGAGGAUGAACGGCCACAAUGGGACUGAGACACGGCCCAGACUCCUACGGGAGGCAGCAGGGGGGAAUCUUCCGCAAUGGACGAAAGUCUGACGGAGCAACGCCGCGGGAGUGAUGACGGCCUUCGGGUUGUAAAGCUCUGUUAAUCGGGACGAAAGGCCUUCUUGCGAAUAGUGAGAAGGAUUGACGGUACCGGAAUAGAAAGCCACGGCUAACUACGUG
rnacentral:rRNA from 1 species